rnacentral:lncRNA from 1 species
CAUUAUAGGUUUCUUUAAGAGGAAGUGCCUCAUCAAUCAGACUCAAGCUUCAUGUCGAUAGGCAACCGACAUCGAUCUGGAGACUUGCAGUAAUAGAACUAUAUUAAAUAAGAGCACUACUCAAUAAGGAUCUCUAUUAAUAAUGUUAUUAGUCUAGCCAUCCACAUAUUAACUUUAAAUACUGUGAAAUGGGAACUCCUUCAUUAGUGCUAGCAUCAUUAAAAAUAAUAUCUAGAUGGCAU